CCUACGGGGUGCAGCAGUGAGGAAUAUUGGUCAAUGGACGAGAGUCUGAACCAGCCAAGUAGCGUGAAGGAUGACUGCCCUAUGGGUUGUAAACUUCUUUUAUAUGGGAAUAAAACGUUCCACGUGUGGGAUUUUGUAUGUACCAUAUGAAUAAGGAUCGGCUAACUCCGUGCCAGCAGCCGCGGUAAUUCGGAGGAUCCGAGCGUUAUCCGGAUUUAUUGGGUUUAAAGGGAGCGUAGGUGGAUUGUUAAGUCAGUUGUGAAAGUUUGCGGCUCAACCGUAAAAUUGCAGUUGAAACUGGCAGUCUUGAGUACAGUAGAGGUGGGCGGAAUUCGUGGUGUAGCGGUGAAAUGCUUAGAUAUCACGAAGAACUCCGAUUGCGAAGGCAGUUCACUGGACUGCAACUGACACUGAGGCUCGAAAGUGUGGGUAUCAAACAGGAUUAGAUACCCCUGUAGUC
rnacentral:rRNA from 1 species